UACGUAGGGUGCAAGCGUUGUCCGGAAUUAUUGGGCGUAAAGAGCUCGUAGGCGGUCUGUCGCGUCUGCUGUGAAAACUCGGGGCUUAACCCGGCUGGCAGUGGUGACGGGCAGACUAGAGUGCGGUAGGGGAGACUGGAAUUCCUGGUGUAGCGGUGAAAUGCGCAGAUAUCAGGAGGAACACCGGUGGCGAAGGCGGGUCUCUGGGCCGUAACUGACGCUGAGGAGCGAAAGCGUGGGGAGCGAACAGG
rnacentral:rRNA from 1 species